rnacentral:rRNA from 1 species
UACGUAGGGGGCAAGCGUUGUCCGGAAUCAUUGGGCGUAAAGCGCGCGUAGGCGGCCCUGUAAGUCCGCUGUAAAAGUCAAAGGCUCAACCUUUGAAAGCCGGUGGAUACUGCAGGGCUAGAGUCCGGAAGAGGCGAGUGGAAUUCCUGGUGUAGCGGUGGAAUGCGCAGAUAUCAGGAGGAACACCAGCGGCGAAGGCGGCAUCCUGGACUGGUCCUGACACUCAGGAGCGAAAGCGUGGGGAGCGAUCCGG